GGGGGAGCCGUCACCUGCAGGAAGUCCCGGGCCCUCCAGAGUUGUGCCACACUCUCAGGACAGGUGCCGGGACAGGGCUGGCUGGGUUGGAGUCUGCGCCUGGUUCCGUGACUUCUGGCUGGGCCAUCCUGGUGGCCACAGGCAGAGCUGCUGUGCUUCUCUGCUGGCCAGGUGUCGCCUGUCUCCACCCGAGUCCUCCACCGGGAGUUAUUAUUCGUUACUCCAGGCCCUGCAGGGGACCCAUGCUGGGCUCUGCUCUUCCUGGAAGCCUCCCACCCCCAAGCCUGGCCAGCGAGGCCCCUUAGCAGCCCUGGGCAGGCGGGAGAUGAGAGCCAACAGCAGGCAGGAUAUGCAGGGGCUGAUGUGGGAGGCCCAGGAUGUGUGGCUGCAGCAGAAAUAAAACGCUGUCCACAGGCCGCCGUCUCCAGGGCCACCGCUGUGGAGUGUCCAGUGUGCCCCCCACACACACACGCAGAAGAUCCUCGGCCAGCCCCAUGUGUGACUGCUGGGGACUCAUCCUGGGCCAGGUGGGCAGAAGCAGCGGCUGCUCUUCCCCCUCUCCGCCUGCUGAGGCCCUGAAGGAGGAAGCCGACCAUCAGAUUGACAUCUCCGAUGCCGUCCAGCUUGUUCCAGACGAGUUGGUGACGGGCGCAGCCCUAGCCUCGUAUUGGGUACCACAGCAGGCUUUCCCAUGUGUAUCAGCGACGCUGGCGUUGACCAUUCCACGAUCAGCCAUGCCUGGCCUCUGAGCCGCCCGUCUGCAGAGGGGCCUUCUGAGAGCAUCUGCCUGGGACCUCAGGCUGGCAGCCUUCUGUGAGGUGGCUGCCCUGGAGACAGGAUCCCGCACGGCCCUGGUGGACCCCCAGGUCAGAGACAGAGAGCACCACUGGAGUCGGCCCUGUUGCUCCCUCCCGCCCUGCGUCCAGACCACAGGCCUCCUGUGCCGGUCCAGCCUCGCCUAGAGGGGAAGCCGCCAUGGGUGCCGAAAGCUGUCGUGCUGUGCUGCCCUGGCUGGAGCGGGCGCUGUCUCCGUGGAGUCCCCUGGGGCCCUGCACUGCCCUGCACGACUCCUGCAGUGCUCUGGGUUCUGGGCUGCUCUGUCCCUCACAGCACUUACCUCGUCAUCCUGGCGUCCUGUAGGCUGCUCUUCCUGAGAUCUGUCCAUGCCCUGCGGGUCUCCUCCAGCAGAGUCCUGCCACCACCCCCAUCCUACGUGCAGCCACCUGGGCCCAGAGCCCUGCGCCUCCACUAUACCUCACCCCCAUGCCUGAGAGUGCAGCUGCCCCUGCCGUGACAGCCCCAGCCUACAACCAACCCCUGGGCCAGUGGGAAGGCGGCACUGUGUAUGCAGCCUUGUCACGCACACGGGUGCACACAGCUGGCCAGCUGUGCCGCAGCCUCCCUGGAGGAGCCCUCACCGUGGGUGCAGUUCCAGGAGCCCUCGGCAGGGCGAGGUGCAGCACAGGGCAGCAGGUGGCUGUGCCCCAGUGCCCUGGCUUCCAGUGCAGCCCCCUUUACAUGAGUUUUUACUCCUGCGACCCCUCAAGUACCACCCUGCUCAGGAACUGGGCAAAAUUUGUGGUUAAAGGUGGGUAAAGCAGUUGUUCACUCAGCCUUAAGGUCCACAGAGAACCCCAUCAGGUCAUAUCGGGAAGUAUGCCUGAUCCUGUGAUGCUCCUGCCAUGGACACCACGCAAGCAGCUGGGCCCAGGCCAGGCACGGGAGUUUCCACCUUAAGAUGGGCCAAGUUGGAAAAAGCUCAGGGAAGAAGAAAAACCUUCAGUGUGGGACCGUGUGGGAGGCGUGUGGAGCAUCCCUGCCCUGUUCGGUACAGAGAGGUGUGUGUUACCCGGCAGUUUCAAGGGAGGAGAACUGCUCUGAGGCAGCACCUCUGAAGGAGCCUUGCAGAUACAGCAGCUGCAGACCCCAGAGAGCCAGGCCAGGACUGUCCCUCAGCCCUGCCCAGUGUCCUGGCUCACGAUGGCCAUCCCCUGGCACCUGGGAGACGUGGAGCUGCCCCAGGAGCCUGAGCUAGGCUUCGCCCUCCCCAGGGCCCAGGAUUCCAGAGGCUGGACCAGCGCGGGCAGAGAGUCGUGUCGAUGAGCCCUGGCCAGGAACACCUGGCUGCCUUGUCCCUGCGUCCGUACGUGUGGCCACAGGGUCCUCGUGGAUCUGUGGGUUGGGGCCUGUGUGUGGCUCCUCCUGCUGGUGGAUGGUGUAGACACAGACACAAGGUGUAGACCCAGGUGCAUGGUAUAGGCCCAGACACACCCACAUGGACACUCAGCAGUCACGUGUACUCACACACACAAUGUGUGGAGUGUGUUGUCUGAGUCCAUGUGUGCCCAGGUGCAUGUGUGCUAAUGUGUGAGUGUGUCUGCCUGAGAGCGAGUCUGUGCCUGUUUGCACACCUGUGUGCCUGGAAACCAGAGCAAAAUGCUAUUGCCAGCUCCCCUGCACAGUUCAGGGAUUUGUGGGGGUUCCAGGGACCCCUAGGUCACCAGGAUGUGAGUGGGCAUAAUUGGCACCUUUCCUCCUGGGGGCGCUGUGGUCUCACCCACUCAGGACAUGAACUCUAGAAGGAAGCUGCAGUAUGCAGCGCAGCCCACGGAGAGGAGUGCGUGAGUGUUUCAGAUUUUUGCACCGGUGCCCACUUGAGUGACUAGUGUGUAGCGUCCCUUCCGUUUCAUCCCAGGCAGGCCUUGGUUCUCUUCAUGACGAUUCCAAAGUUGAGCCCUGCUGUAAACAGCACCAGGCCAUGACCCUGGUGAGACCAUCUGCAAUUGUCUGCAAUGGUGAGGUGACCCCGGCAGCUUCCCACCCCUUCCCGACAUCCAUCCUGCAGUCAUGGCAUGCUGCCUGGAAACGUCCAUGUUGCCCAGGAUUUAAAAUGUAACUGCAGAUGCUAUAAAGUAGUCGAUGUGGUUCUUAAACUUUUCUUAUCGAAGACUAUUUUCUCCCUCUCCUUUAUGCCUCUGAGUAUUUGUACUUUCUCCCCCUUUUUCCCGACCAGGCCCAGUGGUGGUUUGGUGAUUUUCCUGUACUGGUUCCCAGAACCAUCCUAAGUUCAGUUCUGUUGUUUUUCCAAAUUUUGACCCAAUGGUAUCUGAUUUUGCCUCUAUUUCUUCUUGCAUUCUCUCUCUUUUUAAAAAUCACUUUGAGUUUCUGCUUCAUUCAUUUACUUUACAUUCUAUCUUUGGGGAAAUGACAGGAUGAACCUGUUGAUCUCACCAUGUUCCUCACCCUAACCCUGACCCUAACUCUGAGCUGACCCUUAACCCUGCCCCUGGCCCUGGCCCUGAUGCUGACUUAAUCCAGAGCCUGACCCAGAACCUGACUUCUAACCCUGACCUGAUUCUAACCCUGACCCGGACCCUUCCAUCCCCGCAUCCCUUACCCAGCAGCCUAUGCCUCUUCUGCAGGGAGGCCUGGCCCAGGAGCCAAGUUCACUCUGCUCUGUGUAGCACUCUUUGUCCUCCCCCUGGGGCCCCCAGGCCUUCAGCCUGCCCUUUCGAGAGCGUCCCCCGCUCCUUCAGAUACUGUCGGCAUUUGACCGCUUAGCUUUCCCUCUCUGGGGUCAGCUCCUGGAAGCCAGGGUCUGUUUGCACACAGUGUCCUCGGUGUCUUUCCCUGGGGGUGGGGACCAAACUCAGGAAGACACAUGUCAGGGAUGCGGGGAGCCCCGAGGGACGCUGGUGCUGUCUGAAGGCUGAGGAAGGGGCAUUGUUCGAACUUCACUUUGGAAACAGCUAGGCUGAAGUUUAGGGUGCGAAUGCUGCAGGGAAUGCGAAGAGAGCCAGAGCCGCUGAGCGCGCGGGCCUUCUUGUGAGGCAGGGCCCCUGCCUGGCCAGCCCUGAAUGGGUGCGUGAGAGUGUGAGGAGGAACCGUGCCUGGGAGCCUGUCCAGCGUCCUCACAGGGACGGGGUUGGGGUGUUAGGCAGGCUAGGGGACAAGGGCUCCAGCAGAGACAGAGCUGCUGCCACCACCUGGCCACUUGCAGGAGGGCUCGGGCACAAAGCAGGACACAAGGCAGCUGACCCGUGGGAGGGGUGUGCACUCUAUUCACCCAGCACCCUCCUGGUAAGAGACCCACUGGGGGCGGACAGACUCCACAGCAGGCCCCAGCAGCGAGGACACAGACCCUCCAGGCCAUGGGGCUCUUCAGGUGUCCCCUGCAGCACGGUCCCAUGGGCUCUGGCCCCCGACAGACUCCACACACCUGACCCCGCCCCCAGGCCCUUUCCCUGACCUCCUUUCUCUAUAGGUCUGGGCAGUCUGUGGACCCAACGGCUCUGGCAGCACCAUUUCCUCCGAGUGUAGAAACAAUUUUAUUAAUUCAAAUCCAUGUGAAAGAUAAAAAUCUGCUGCAAUGUAGCUUUCAGUCUUCAGGUAUUUGCCCAAUUAUAUAUUUUAAAGGGAAAUAAUCAGGUAAGAAUUUGCAAGUUGUAUAACAUUUGAAUGACAUUUUCAUACCAAAAAUAUUAGAAAUCACUGUUUUGCUUUGAAAAUUGCUUAGAAAUUCUUUGAACAAAUUGCAUAUAAAAUAUGAAAAUUAUUGUAAUUAUUUAAUGCAUUUAUUUCUCCCAUAAGUUUGUGUUUGUGGUCUUGUUUUUGUGACUGUGUACCUCAGUCUCAGCAGUUAGAUUUUCAGCUAUGCUCCUAGUAUUAGUAUUCGUUCAUUUUGUUGGUACCAUGUGGGAACUCUGAAAUUCAGCUUUUACUUAUUAAAUUAAGCAGUGCAUGAGAUGUAUUUGAGAUGCAGUGUUAAACGUCUCCAUGCUUGGAAAGGCCC
rnacentral:lncRNA from 1 species